rnacentral:rRNA from 1 species
UACGUAGGGAGCGAGCGUUGUCCGGAUUUAUUGGGCGUAAAGAGCGCGUAGGCGGCUUGGUAAGCCGGAUGUGAAACCCCCGAGCUCAACUCGGGGCGGCCAUUCGGAACUGCCAUGGCUAGAGUCUGGUAGGGGAACACGGAAUACCUGGUGUAGCGGUGAAAUGCUUAGAUAUCAGGUGGAACACCAGUGGCGAAGGCGGUGUUCUGGGCCAGUACUGACGCUGAGGAGCGAAAGCGUGGGGAGCAAACAGG